rnacentral:piRNA from 2 species
UUCUACUGGAUGCGAGUGAUUCUGGCCUC